UUUCUUUUCCUAAUGCAAAAUGAAGUACACAAUUACUCUUUAAGCUCUUCUUUUAUAUACAUAGGAAAUACUAAAUUCCUACCUAUACCAUCACUAUUUGAAACACAUGACAUUGCCUUCUCAUCAUCAUUGUCGCUUAAUGAGAAGAACAAUUAAAGGCACAUUCCACCAGGUACUGUAACUUAGUUAUUCUUGGUGGAAGUUCCAUUGCAUAUCUAAUAACCUCAUCAACCUCUUCGCGGAACUAUUACUUGGGAAGAGCUUGGAUACAGGAAUAACUUGGAUAUAGUACCUGACAGGAUGUGUCUUUGAUCAAUUGUUGAUCUCUAUUGCUACAAUGAUAAUGAGAAGGCAAUGACAUGUGUUUCAAAAUAGUGAUGGUGUAGGUAGGAUUUAACAUUUCCUAGGUAGAUAAAUGAGGUUAUAGUGAAAUUCUCUACGUCACUUUCCAAGAGGAAAAAAAGUUUGAUUGAUAGCGAUACAUUUCCUAAGUAGAUAAAAGAUGUUAUCGAGAAAUUCUCUACUUCACUUUCUAAGAGGAAAAUAAGUUUGAUUGAUAGUGACAACGUUGAUGAAGACGGAAUGUUUCCCGUCGGUCGUGUCAGUUCCUAUAAAGCGGGGAUCAUAAGACUUUAUGAUGACAAAGAUAAUAGGAAGUUUUGUUCUAAAUUUUCUUUCAAGUCUAAUCCGCCAAGUUUAAUGUGAUAAUUGUGAUAUUUAUUCGGAUUCUGAGACUGAUUUGACCAACAAAACUAUAGAAAUGCAUUCAACCUCUUAUUCGUUUUAUCAAAAUUUCCAUACUUCUGUCCAUGAAAUCAUCGUCUGAAUCCGACGAACUAUCACCAAUAUCACAUUAAGCUGGAAUUUAUUAACCUUGGAAUAAAGUCGAGUACAAAGCUUCCUAAAAUCUUGGUCAUCAUACAGUCUUAUAAUCCCCUUUUUAUGGGAACCUCAUGACCGACGGAACACAUUCCAUCUGUAUCAACCUCGUCACUCUCAAUUAAACUUCUUUUCNNN
rnacentral:lncRNA from 1 species